rnacentral:rRNA from 1 species
UACGUAGGGGGCUAGCGUUGUCCGGAAUCAUUGGGCGUAAAGAGCGUGUAGGCGGUCCGGUAAGUCCGUUGUGAAAGUCAGGGGCUCAACCCUUGAAUGCCGGCGGAUACUGUCGGGCUAGAGUCCGGAAGAGGCAAGUGGAAUUCCCGGUGUAGCGGUGAAAUGCGCAGAUAUCAGGAGGAACACCGAUGGCGAAGGCAGGUCUCUGGGCUGUAACUGACGCUGAUGCGCGAAAGCCAGGGGAGCGAACGGG